GAACUGGGGGGAAAAACUAUUUGACCAAAUAGAGGGAGGAAGAAAACUUAGAAGACUGGAUGCACUCCACGAAGUACUCUCUAUUCUUCCAGCGACCACCAACUCCGUUCACAAAAGGGUUCAGCAAACUGAAAUGCCCAAGCUCAUCCCACAUUGAAAGACUUCUCAGAGCAGAGGGCUCCUUCUGGGAUGAAGUGAGGAGCAAAGAAAUAAAACCGGAAAUUCGGAGGGGAAAUCCAACAAAAGCCAAAGUCCACCUUGCAGGUCUUCCCCUGUACCUCCCCACUUGGGUUAUAAUCAGAGUGCUGCUCUCAGCUCCUUGCUCCUUUCCUGGCUCAAGCCUUCUUCAACUGGAUCACUGGCAAGAGCUUCACCUACUGGACCUCCUAGGGUCGUUUCUUAAAAUGGAAGCAGACGUAAAUAUGCUGAAAUGUUUUCCUCUCUCCCCAAUAUCAAAGAAGAAAAGUCAAAUGACUCAGUGGCUUCUCCCAACAUUGUGCUUCCAAGUCCUGAGAUGUUGGGCAAUUCUAGGCACUGAACUCUUUGGAACAUGGACUUUCAAAAAUAUUCACUUCUAGAACUUGAAUUUCAAGGCUUCUAAAUUCAGAUGUAAGUUUCAAAAGGCAAUUUUGAGCCUUUAAAAAGCAAUAGGAGAGGGGUGGGGGUCAGGGCUCAGUGGUAGAAUGCUUGCCUAGCAUGUGUGAGGCACUGGGUUUGAUUCAUAUGCACCACAUAUAAAAUAAUUUUUUAGAAAACGUUAAUCAACCACUAAAAAAAAUUAAUGAUGAAAAAAUAAAAUAAGUGGGAGGAGGGGUGACACAGGACAGAGUACAAAGGAAUAUAGGGUGGGAAAGUAUUCAGGGUAAUAUCUCCAAUUUGACUCCUACCUCAUAAUUAUUUGCAUAUAAUAAACAUUGGAGCAAUAUUCAUCUUUCACAAUCAUUACAAUUGCUCUCUCUUUAUAGAGAUGACCAAUUACUUUCAUCUUCCUCUUUGUCCAUAUUUUCUUUUUCAAAUUUUCUGCAGUGAAGAUAUAUUACAAGAGAAAUAAACUCAAUGACAGUAUUGCUUUCCAAUGGCAACUUGUAAUGUGAAAAAUUGUGGAUAGUUAAAAAUUGAAUCCCUCUAAAUGUGCACCAAAUACAGUACUCAGAUAUGCAUUGAUCAACCCAACCAGUAAUUCCUGUGGGUUUGGAACAUAAAGCUGUUUCUUCAGCCAAGCACUAGAUGAGGUAGUCAGCUUGCAUCUGAAGUCCAUGAUGAAUGAAAAAGAAGCAUCUUAAAACACCUAGAAUCACUUACAUAUAGCUGAACUUACUUUAGUGAGUAUAUUAAUAAAUGCAAUCAUACUGUACUCAUAAAAUUAGAACAAAGACUAUAUUAAAAGUGUUACUCAAAAAUAUUAUCGAAAGAGGUAAAAUAACUUCAAUAUCAAAGAAAAACCUGAUUAUUCAAAGGGCUUAUUUAAUUGCCAAAAAUAUUGUCCUUCUAUUUGCCAACUAUGACACUUUUAAAAUGUAAAUGUAAAUCAUUAUCCCGAUCUGGAGAAUGGGCAUAACUAAACAGAGUACAUGCUCAAUGAUUAUCUUCCCAGUCAGUGUGAAUGUACAGGUACUGAAAUUUGCCAGCCUGGCCAGAAUGGGAUUGGGCUGAUGAUGCAUACAAAGGGCACAUAAAUAUUAUGAGGACACACAAUUUCAGAGAUGGACACCCCAAGACAGAGAGGAACUGAGCCAAGCCCUCAUAUUUAACAGGUGUAGACCCAGAGGGUCAGAGAAGCAAUGUUUCCAAAUUCAUGGAGCUGCCUGGUAAAGGGGGGACCAGAAAUCAGGUCUCCUAAUUAUCUAUCCUGAGUGCAUCCUGAAACUGCCUUUUUUUCACAGAGGAAAAAACAGAAACAGAGAAAGUGGAUAACUAGAAAAUAUGGGGCGGGAGAAACAGACUCAGCAGAAAGACAAACCCAGCACACAGUGGAACUCACUAAAUAUGCACUAAAUGAAGUUCAGGAUAUGUUAAUGACCUAUUUUUUAUUCAAAUUUUGAAACUCAGCAUAAUAUGUGCACAUUAUAAAAUAAAUAAGUACUAAAAUAUACAAGGAAAAAAAAUAAAAACUCUAUUCCCUCAAUCUCCCCAUAAAAGGUACACUGUCAAUCAUCAUCAUUGACAGUUUAAAUAAUAUCUUGCCAGAUAUUUUCCUGCACAUAUAUAAAUGAUUUUAUACAGAAGUUGAUUCAUAAUACAUACCUUCUGCAUCUCUUUUCUUUUAAUAAUAUAUGAACAUAUUUUUUCUAUGUCAUAUUUAUGGAUUGCCUUAUUUGUUACAAGGUCUGAAUAGUACUUAUCCAAUAUUCUCACAAUAACGUUCUCUCUUGAAAAAUGGGUUAAGAAAAUUAAAAAGAGCACUCGGGGAGAAGACAGGCACUUUACAAAUGAUGCUGGGAAAUAUGAAUAGUCAUUUGGAAAAUGCAAAAUUGGAACCAUUCUUCACACCAUACAGUAGAAUAAAUUCCAAAUGGAUCAAAGGUUUAAAGUAAAAUGUGAAAUCAUACAGAAGAAAAUAUGAGUAAAUGUAUUUUACUUGGGAGCAGAAAAUUCUUCCCCUAACCAUAACACAAAAUCCAGAACAGUAAAGCAAAUAUGGAUAAUUUUGACCACAUAAAAAUUUUUCAGUUGGUCAGGAAAGAGAAAAAAGAAAACAGGAAAGGAGAACCCAUAAAAAGACACUCAUGAAAUAAAUCUAAUGCAAGGUAUGGACCUUAUUUGCAUCCUAAUUCCACCAAUCGAAGUAUAAAUGCACCAGAAUGCAAGCACACACAUUCUCUCCCUCUCCCUUUCUCUCUCUCUCUCUCUCUCUCUCUCCCACACACACACACACACACACACACACACACACACA
rnacentral:lncRNA from 1 species